rnacentral:misc_RNA from 1 species
GAUGAAGAACGUAGCGAAACGCGAUAAUUAAUGUGAAUUGCAGAAUUCCGUGAAUCAUCGAGUCUUUGAACGCACAUUGCGCCUCAUGGCAUUCCGUGAGGCAUGCCCAUCUCAGCGUUAGAAAAUAUUCUCAAAUUUUAGUUUUGUGCUAAAAUUUGGAUCAUGUCAAGGAAGCUAUUACUAUUAUUGUGAUCGCUCUUUGGAAAUUGAUAGGUCUUUGAGUUGCUACUCAUAGAACGUGAUGAAUCUUUCUUCGUUCUAUUGUAAUUCACUCUGGUAGUCCUAAAACUUGUAUGCCUGUGGCAUAUCUUGUAAUUUGACCUGAGAUUGGGUAGGGAUACCCGCUGAACUUAAGCAUAUCAAUAAGCGGAGGA